rnacentral:lncRNA from 1 species
AACCAUUUAUUUAAUUGAUGUUCUUAUUAUUGUUUGCUUCCGUCGAUAGUAUUACAUCAGAAAGCUUAUUAUGUGUCCCCUAUGGCGUUGGGUCAGAGCUAUAGAAAUAAAAUAAAUGCCUGUAAUGCGGAUAUGCCAUUCUAUAUAUUCUCUUCAGUGGUGUACCUCCAUUUUGGACUUGCAAAGGAAAUAGAUCCAAGCCUUUCACUUUGCCGAAGCUUCCAUCAAGGUGAGUUUUUGGUUAUUAUUUUAUGGUCCACCAUUUUUGAAUCUAAAACCCGAGUUCUGCGGGAAAAAAAAAAAGUUUUCGGGAUGGUUUCACAUUUUUUUACUACUUCUUCCAUAUUGCUAAGUUAGUCAUAACAUAAUUAUCUUUAACAUUUCAGUUCCUGAUGAUGUAGACGACUUCCAUGCAACAGUGUCUGGACAGUUCUUUCAUGUUUUUUUGGCUCGUUGUAUAAUGGAUAUUACUUCAAUUGGUAAUGAAUAUUAAUACUAUAAACACCUUUUGUGAUAGUUGAUGCCGUGUGUUAUAGAAUAUUACUUCAAUUGUGUUAUAGAAUAUUACUUCAAUUGGUAUUAUCACCAAUGUGUUUACAUUUUUUGAAUUACAUGAACGUCUUG